GCGUCGGUGGUGUAUCGGUAACAUUAAUGCCUUCCACUGGUGACAGCAUUAGCGCCGGGUUCGACUCCCGGCCGACGCA